GGGGGGAGGCCGGAUCCUGGGCUGUGUCCCGGCAUCCAGUGCUCCCGGGCCUGUCCUGUUGGAUUCGCCCUCCUGGCCGUGCAGCCCCCU
rnacentral:pre_miRNA from 1 species